rnacentral:misc_RNA from 1 species
AAGUCGUAACAAGGUUUCCGUAGGUGAACCUGCGGAAGGAUCAUUAACACAAUUUUACUGUGAUAAAAUCCGUUGAAUUCUCUCUCUCGAGAAUUCAAUGGUAUCCACCCCAUUAUUGACGAACUUUUCUUAGAUGUUUCAAAAAACAUAGAGCUUAGUCUUUACGUAUUUUGAAAACAUUCUAAAAACCUUUUUCUUUACCCUAUAACAUUUUUUAACCCCUUUUACAACAUGCCUUAGACUGAAAUGAAAAUUUCUUUAUUAUCAAAAAAUGAUAAAAAACAACUCUUAACAACGGAUAUCUUGGCUCUC